GGACCAGUGGUGAAGUGGUAACACGCGUUUUUCGGGUGAACGAGAUCCCGGGUUCAAAUCCCGGUUGGUCCC